rnacentral:rRNA from 1 species
CAGUAGCCGCUGUAAUACGAAGGGGGCUAGCGUCGUUCGGAAUUACUGGGCGUAAAGCGCACGUAGGCGGAUAUUUAAGUCAGGGGUGAAAUCCCAGAGCUCAACUCUGGAACUGCCUUUGAUACUGGGUAUCUUGAGUAUGGAAGAGGUGAGUAGAAUUCCGAGUGUAGAGGUGAAAUUCGUAGAUAUUCGGAGGAACACCAGUGGCGAAGGCGGCUCACUGGUCUGUAACUGACGCUGAGGCGCGAAAGCCAGGGGAGCGAACGGGAUUAGAUACCCCAGUAGUCCCUGUCUCUUAUAC